GAUGAACGCUAGCGGCAGGCUUAAUACAUGCAAGUCGUGGGGCAGCAUGAGUAGCAAUACUUGAUGGCGACCGGCAAACGGGUGCGGAACACGUACACAACCUUCCUUUCAGCGGGGAAUAGCCCAGAGAAAUUUGGAUUAAUACCCCAUAGCAUAUUAGAGUGGCAUCACUUCUAUAUUAAAGAUUUAUCACUGAAAGAUGGGUGUGCGGCUGAUUAGAUAGUUGGCGGGGUAACGGCCCACCAAGUCUACGAUCAGUAGCUGAUGUGAGAGCAUGAUCAGCCACACGGGCACUGAGACACGGGCCCGACUCCGACGGGAGGCAGCAGUAAGGAAUAUUGGUCAAUGGACGAAAGUCUGAACCAGCCAUGCCGCGUGAAGGAUGAAGGUCCUCUGGAUUGUAAACUUCUUUUAUAUGGGACGAAAAAAGGUCAUUCUUGAUCACUUGACGGUACCAUUUGAAUAAGCACCGGCUAACUCCGUGCCAGCCGCCGCCGUAACAC
rnacentral:rRNA from 1 species